AUGAACGCUGGCGGCGUGCCUAAUCCAUGCAAGUCGAGCGCACAGAUGAGGAGCUUGCUCCUCUGACGUUAGCGGCGGACGGGUGAGUAACACGUGGAUAACCUACCUAUAAGACUGGGAUAACUUCGGGAAACCGGAGCUAAUACCGGAUAAUAUAUUGAACUGCAUGGUUCAAUAGUGAAAGACGGUUUUGCUGUCACUUAUAGAUGGAUCCGCGCCGCAUUAGCUAGUUGGUAAGGUAACGGCUUACCAAGGCAACGAUGCGUAGCCGACCUGAGAGGGUGAUCGGCCACACUGGAACUGAGACACGGUCCAGACUCCUACGGGAGGCAGCAGUAGGGAAUCUUCCGCAAUGGGCGAAAGCCUGACGGAGCAACGCCGCGUGAGUGAUGAAGGUCUUCGGAUCGUAAAACUCUGUUAUUAGGGAAGAACAAAUGUGUAAGUAACUAUGCACGUCUUGACGGUACCUAAUCAGAAAGCCACGGCUAACUACGUG
rnacentral:rRNA from 1 species